AUACGGAGGAUCCGAGCGUUAUCCGGAUUUAUUGGGUUUAAAGGGUGCGCAGGCGGCCAUUUAAGUCAGCGGUUAAAUCGUGGGGCUCAACCCCAUUCUGCCGUUGAUACUGGGUGGCUUGAUUGCGGUCGAGGUUGGCGGAAUUCGUUGUGUAGCGGUGAAAUGCAUAGAUAUGACGAAGAACACCGAUUGCGUAGGCAGCUGACCAGACCGCAAAUGACGCUCAUGCACGAAAGUGCGGGGAUCGAACAGGAUUAGAUACCCUGGUAGUCCGCACAGUAAACGAUGAAUACUUGUUUUCGGCGAUAUAAUGUCGGAGGCAAAGCGAAAGCGAUAAGUAUUCCACCUGGGGAGUACGUCGGCAACGGUGAAACUUAAAUGAAUUGGCGGGG
rnacentral:rRNA from 1 species